rnacentral:rRNA from 1 species
GAUGAACGCUGGCGGCGUGCUUAACACAUGCAAGUCGAACGGAAAGGCCCUGAUUUUGUGGGGUGCACGAGUGGCGAACGGGGGAGUAACACGUGUGUAACCUGCCCCUGACUGUGGGAUAACUUCAGGAAACUGCGGCUAAUACAGGAUAGGAGCUCCUGCUGCACGGUGGGGGUUGGAGAAUUUCGGCGGUUGGGGCUGGUCUCGCGGGUUACCCGCUUGUUGGGGGAGUUGUUGAUUUCCACGGCUAUGAAGGGUAGCCGGCCUGAGAGGGUGACCGGCGACAUUGGGCCUGAGGUACGGCCCAGUCUCCUACGGUAGGCAACAGUGGGGAAUAUUGCACAAUGGGCGGAAGCCUGAGGCAGCAACGCCGCGUGCGGGAUGACGGCCUUCUGGGUGUGAACCGCUUUCUCCUGUGACGAAGCGGGAGUGACGGUAAUGGGUAAAGAAGCACCGGCUAACUACGUG